GUUGGCUCAGAAGCAGCCACUCAUUCAAAGAGUGCGUAAUAGCUCACUGGUCGAGUGAUCCUGCGCCGAAGAUUUCCGGGGCUAAAACUUACUACCGAAGCUACGGCAUCAGUAAUGAUGGGUAGGGGAGCUUCCCAUACGGGUUGAAGCAUGACCGUAAGGACAUGUGGACAGUAUGGGAGUGAGAAUGUUGGCAUGAGUAGCGAGAUGUGGGUGGGAAUCCCACAGGCCGUAAACCCAAGGUUUCCAGGGGAAGGUUCGUCCGCCCUGGGUUAGUCGGGACCUAAGCUGAGGCCGAAAGGCGUAGGUGAUGGACAACAGGUUGAUAUUCCUGUACUACCGAUAACCGUUUGAGAGAAGGGAUGACACAGUAGGAUAAGCUAAGCACACUGUUGGUUAUGUGUGCCCAAGCAUUGAGGCAGUCAAAGUAGGCAAAUCCGCUUUGAUAAUGCUGGGAUGUGAUGGGGAGCGAAAUUUAGUAGCGAAGUAGCUGAUUUCACACUGUCAAGAAAAGUCUCUAUCGAGGUUAAAGGUACCCGUACCGCAAACCGACACAGGUGGGUGAGGAGAGUAUCCUAAGGCCAGCGAGAGAACUGUUGUUAAGGAACUCGGCAAAAUGACCCCGUAACUUAGGGAUAAGGGGUGCCACCAUCAGGUGGCCGCAGAGAAUAGGCCCAAGCGACUGUUUACCAAAAACAUAGGUUUCUGCUAAGUCGCAAGACGAUGUAUAGGAGCUGACGCCUGCCCGGUGCUGGAAGGUUAAGGGGAUCUGUUAGAGCAAUCGAAGCAGUGAACUUAAGCCCCAGUAAACGGCGGCCGUAACUAUAACGGUCCUAAGGUAGCGAAAUUCCUUGUCGGGUAAGUUCCGACCCGCACGAAAGGCGUAACGAUUUGGGCACUGUCUCAACAACAGACUCGGUGAAAUUGUAAUUC
rnacentral:rRNA from 1 species